rnacentral:lncRNA from 1 species
GAGACGGAGUCUCGCUUUGUCACCCGGGCUGCAGUGCAGUGGCGCAAUCUCGGCUCACUGCAAGCUCCGCCUCCCAGGUUCAUGCCAUUCUCCUGCCUCAGCCUCCAGAGUAGCUGGGACUACAGACACCUGCCAGCACACCGGGCUAAUUUUUUGUAUUUUUAGUAGAGACGGGGUUUCACUGUGUUAGCCACCAUGGUCUCGAUCUCCUGACCUCGUGAUCCACCCGCCUCGGCCUCCCAAAGUGCUGGGAUUACAGGCAUGAGCCACCGCACCUGGCCUGGUUUACCCUUUCAUUGACAGUGGAGCCUGUGCCCACUGCAUUAAAGUUGAAGCUCUGUCACUGGCGAUUUGGCAGAUUCCCCUAGAGCUGUCGCCAAUUCCAGCCAUAUGUGUCUUGAAUUCAUGCUUUUUGCUUUUUAUAUUCAAGCUGGUGGUUUUAGGUGUUUUAUUUAUUUAUUUUUUUUUUAUACGGAGUCUUGCUCUGUCGCCUAGGCUGGAGUGCAGUGGUGCGAUCUUGGCUCACGGCAAGCUCCAACUCCCAGGUUCACGCCAUUCUCCUGCCUCAGCCUCUCGAGUAGCUGGGACUACAGGCACCCACCAUAAUGCCCAGCUAAUUUUUGUAUUUUAGUAGAGACAGGGUUUCACCAUGUUGGCCAGUCUGGUCUUGAACUCCUGACCUCAAGUGAUCUGCCCUCCUCAGCCUCCCAAAGUGCUGGGAUUACAGGCGUGAGCCACCAUGCCUAGCCUCACCACUCUUUUUCUGGCACCUGGCCCUGUGACUGGUUUUGUGGAAGACAAUUUUUCGAUGGAUCUUUUGGGGGCGGGGGUGCAGGAGCUGGGAAUGGUAUUGGGAUGAAACUGUUCCAUCAGAUCAUCAGGCAUUAGAUUCUCAUAAGGAGGACGAAACCCAAAUCCCUUGCAUGCAUAAUUCAUGAUAGGGUUUGCAAUCCUAUGAGAAUCUAAUGUCUGCUAAUCUGACAGGAGGCGGAGCUCAGGCUGUGAUGCUCACUUGCCAGUCACUCAUCUCCUGCUGUGCAGCCCGGUUCUUAACAGGCCAUGAACUGGUGCUGGUCUGCAGCCCAGGGUUUGGGGACCCCUGUCUCAUUGAAUAUAUGAAAUUGGGAAGAAAGUCAGGAGUUCCUAAAAGGACAAGAGAGGAAAAAAAUUCAGAUAAGGACUGAAAAAAAGGUUAUUGUAUUUGGUGUUUGAGUUUUUUCUUGAGAUGGAGUCUUGCUCUUGUCGCCCAGGCUGGAGUGCAAUGGUGCGAUCUUGGCUCACUGCAACCUCCACCUCCUGGGUUAAGUGAUUCUCCUGUCUCAGCCUCCUGAGUAGCUGGGAUUACAGGCACCUGCCACUACACCCAGCUUGGCCUUGCCCCUUGGAUGCUUACUACAGUUACUGUGAAUUAUUCCCAGUUUGCAGAAUGUAAUAACUCUGAAUCACUUUACAUAGUUCUUUCUACCCAGAAGACCCCUUUCCCGAUCUAACCCCUUUACCUGAAUAAAUUCUUCUACUUCAUCAGAUCUCAGCUUAGAAGCUAUUUUCUGUGACAGGAUUUUCCUGUCCUUCCUCCACCUCCUCAAAUUGGGUAGGUUCCCCUAUUCUGUGCUUCUAGAGCAUUUUGUGUUUGUCCCUGUCUUAGCACCAAUCCCUUCUAAUUCCUUAUCUGUCUGUUUUUAUUAUAUCCCUCUGUAUACUGUAAACUCCUUGAGGGCAGGAACCAUGUUUUAUUUUUUUUUUGGAGACAGAGUUUUGCUCUUGUUGCCCAGGCUGGAGUACAGUGACGCAAUCUCGGCUCACUGCAACCUCCGCCUCCCGGGUUCAAGCAAUUCUCGUGCCUCAGCCUCCCAAGUAGCUGGAAUUGCAGGCAUACACCACCACAUCUGGCUAAUUUUGUAUUUUUAGUACAGACAGGGUUUCACCACAUUGGUCAGGCUGGUCUCAAACUCCUGACAUC